rnacentral:rRNA from 1 species
AGUGAACGCUGGCGGUAGGCCUAACACAUGCAAGUCGAACGGCAGCACAGUAAGAGCUUGCUCUUACGGGUGGCGAGUGGCGGACGGGUGAGGAAUACAUCGGAAUCUACUUUUUCGUGGGGGAUAACGUAGGGAAACUUACGCUAAUACCGCAUACGACCUACGGGUGAAAGCAGGGGAUCUUCGGACCUUGCGCGAUUGAAUGAGCCGAUGUCGGAUUAGCUAGUUGGCGGGGUAAGGCCCACCAAGGCGACAAUCCGUAGCUGGUCUGAGAGGAUGAUCAGCCACACUGGAACUGAGACACGGUCCAGACUCCUACGGGAGGCAGCAGUGGGGAAUAUUGGACAAUGGGCGCAAGCCUGAUCCAGCCAUACCGCGUGGGUGAAGAAGGCCUUCGGGUUGUAAAGCCCUUUUGUUGGGAAAGAAAAGCAGCAGGUUAAUACCCCGCUGUUCUGACGGUACCCAAAGAAUAAGCACCGGCUAACUUCGUG